rnacentral:lncRNA from 1 species
UUUUCUUUCUGGAGAUCCCUCUGUGGUGAAGCUUUCCCUUACAAACCGGGAAUCUUCAGAUAUGGUUGUUGUCAGUAUCUCCUCCAGAAGACGUAAUGUACGGUCUCUAUGCCCUGUGGAAUUCUGGAGAGUGCAUGCUUUCAUUGGAGUCUUCACAAAGCACUCACAACAGGCAGAAAUGCCAAGUCAAAGCCUGAAGCAGUGAUUGAGCACCAGGUGGGAAGGAAAGGCCAGCCUAGGGGAGCUCAGGUGCAUGCAAUGACCCUGAGUGACUGGAACGGGUGCAGCCAGGAUCCACCCCUUCCCAGACCUCAUUUAAGGGCUGGCAGUGGAGGCAAGGGUUUCUCUCUGGAGAUCCCUGCAUACUUGAGGCCUUCCAAAGGAGGGAAGAACGUUGAGAGCGGGCAGUCUUUCUGACAUCCUACUGGGAAUGCAAGACUGAGUUCCUUUGGCAUCAGAAUGAGCACUAGCAGGUGGUGCUUAUCUUUGUGGUACUGCAAGUGCAACCAAAAGACCUGAAUUGCAUAUUUUUACUUUGUGGAAAUGAAAAUAUUUGGUGAUGAAAGAAUAAUAUGUGAGACUGUAAGUAGAGAUAGCACCACUGAUGUCCAGUGUGCCUUGCCUGAAGAAAUCCAUGUUGCACAUGGACUAACAGCUGUAAUGCAAUUUAAGAUGGGCAACAAGGCCUUGAAUUUGGUCAAAGCUGUGGGAAGUAGUACCUUAUUUUUAUGAAAAGUACUGAGAGACAACUGUUCUGGAAAGGCUCUAGUUAUUCAGAGUUUUGACUAUCCUGAAUAGAAGUAUCCCCUUCCAUUUUAUUUCUAUCUUAACCUGUGUCUAGAAGAUGAUAGGAGAACUUGUAUGUUCUUCCUUGAGAAGACAUCAAAGUAAUAACAAUUCAGUAUUUUCAAUAAAUGCAUAGAGUCUCUGCCAUCACCUUCACAAUGAAUUAUUCUAAACACUCCGAAAGCAGUUUGGCAACCUUUGAGGCCUGCGGAACACAAAAUGACUUAUUUUACUGUCAAGUUAAAAAUCAAGUCUUAGAACAGACACAGAAUAACAAACUGCUAGCAAAGUGACCUUUUUGUCAGCAGAUAUGAGAGCUUACUCUGCUUGACUGAGCAAACUGGACAGUCAAAGUACUUCUUCACUGUAGGAAAUUAGAAAAAAAAAAAAAAAACCUAAUAGAAAUAGCAAGACUGUUUUCCUGAAUUGAGUAGAUGGAUGACAAAGUUCUAAACAAAGAAGACAUCAGUGAUAUUAAAUUCCUCAGAGCUGUCUGAAUUUGGAGGAAAAAUAUUUAAUAGCUUUGAAUUGACCUGAAACUGCAAGGCCAAGUUUAAUUGUGAUAGAGACAGAUUGUUUUAUUAUUCUUCUGCAAUAUAUAACAAAAUAAAAAACCUCACAGAUCUUUUAUUAGAACAGAGAAUAAUCUGCAAGAGAUAAUACUUCUAAUGUAAAUGUAGUAU